GAUGAACGCUGGCGGCGUGCCUAAUACAUGCAAGUCGAGCGAACGGACGCUAAUCUUGUUUCUUUGUUGUUAGCGGCGCACGUGUGUGUAACACGUGUAUAAUCUACUUAUAUUACUGGUAUAACUUCGGGAAACCGGAUCUAACACGGUAUAAUAUCCUGAACCGUAUUGUUCAAUAGUGAAAGACGGCCUUUCUGUCACGUCUAGAUGGAUCCGCGCUGCAUUAGAUAGUUGUUAAGGUAACGGCUUACCAAGGCAACGAUGCAUAGCCGACCUGAGGGGGUGAUCGGCCACACUAGAGCUGAGACACGGUCCAGACUCCUACGGGAGGCAGCAGUAGCGAAUCUUACGCAGUGGGCGAGAGCAUGACGGAACAACGCGGAGUGAGUGAUGAAGGUCUUCGGAGCGUAAAACUGUGUUAUGAGGGAAGAACAUAUGUGUAAGUAAAUGAGCACAUCUUGACGGUACCUAAUCAAAAAGCAACGGCUAACUACGUG
rnacentral:rRNA from 1 species